AUUCUGUGUGAUGGGUGUCUGGUUUUGGAUGAAUGGUCUGAAUGCUUGUGAGCCUGAUUGGUUGCCUGCCUGCAUGAAUGCACUUGUUUAUGAUUGGCUGACUGAGCCUGUCUGAGCCUGAGUUAAUGGGGUACAAUUGUGCAUAACUAGGGACCCCUCACUCACCAAUUUGUUCUGAAGCUGAAGAUGAAACCUGAAGCUUUAAUCCUGGGUACAGUCGAAGAAGGGGCUCUGCAGCUGUAUUUCUUCAAGGAAUCCAAAGCAUGCUGAGCUGGCGUGAGGAUGGAAUCAAGAGAGGACCUGGAUAGGCAAUCGCUUCUGAGCUACGAGUGGCCAUUGUGCACCUGCUGCUCUUCUUCCAAAGUACCCUGGAAGCCAGUCCUAUGUGCCUGUCGUCCAUAGAAGGGGUGUUCGUAAGUCCAGAAGAAGAGUGCAGAUAUCCCCUCCAGUCUUUACAGACACCUUGAGAGAAACACUGCGUGUGGAGAUGUCGGCCUCAAGGGUAUCUUAACACCAAGACGCCAAAGUCGAUAGUAAAUGCCUGCAGGCAGAGAUGUUGUCUGUGAUGGAAUCCCUAUGUCAAGAUGCAGCAGCCCAGAGCAAAUGUCUGCAGGCAGAGAUAUUGGCUUUGAGCCAAUCCCUAGGUCAAGACACGGAAGUCCAGAGCAAAUGCCUGCAGGCUGAGAUGUUUAGGAUGUGGCGAUAUGGUUGUUAAGAGACAGAGACCUUGAGGUAGUCUAUGCAUGAUGAACUGCUUGUCACAAGGGACCUCCCCUGCCAAGAGAUGGCUUCCUUGAGACAAUCUCUUAACAUGUAGUUGGAGAUUUCAAGAGUGAGAUUGCAUAAUGAAUCUGUGACCACUCAUGAUUUACAUCACCAGGACCUCGAAUGCCAGCAAGCUACUUUUAUACAGAACUGGUGCUGCAGGAUGAACCGAACAUCAGCUUAAGGUGCACAAUGCCAACGGUCAUCAGGCCCCAGAAAUGUUGUUGGUUGAAAUAGACAGCAGAAAAUUAGAAUCUGCUAAGGAGUGUGUAAUAACUCACCUCCUGAAUCAUCUAGCCCUUGCAGUGUAUGGUGAUGGUGCAUCAGGUCCAUACCUAGCCGCCGCUGGUGCUGCGGGCAACAGGGGAUAAGCCACAAUAAGUAGGAGGGCUGCUAAGGUGUGGUACGAUAGCCCCAGGGCGAGUGCCCAGAUAGAGUCGCUGCAAUAGCAGACAUUGGUGGUAGUAGCAAAAAUUAAAAUAGGAACAUUGAAGGUCAUAGUGGGGGAAGGUACCAUGUGAACAGCUGUUGAACAUGGGUCAGUCAUUCCAAAGAGAUGAUUAAGUGCCAUUCUGAAGGGACAGGCAAUGGCCUCCGUUUCCCUCAGCCGAUCAAAAGGGAGUCACGUUCAGUACCUGAACCCAUGGUGGCAUGGACAGCAUCUAUUGUAGUACACAAAUGUUCCUGGAGAAUCUGGCAUGCACACUUGGGAGAGUUCUCAUUUCUUUGUGAAGGGGUUUCCCCCUUGAGAGGCAUCUGAGCAUUGGAAAGCAUUAUUGUUCGGGCAGUGUAAGGAGAGCUCUUGCUGAUCCUUAUUAAUUCAAGAGAGAUGGUAUAAAUCUUGCACCAGCCCAUACCCAUAUCCGGAGCAGGGCUCCAAGGUGAACACCCUCUGCCAUGUUGGAACAACGUAGGUAAGGGAAGUCGGCAAGGCCAAUUCGCUACUUCAGGAUGAGAAUUGUCUCUAAGGGCCGAUUGGGUCAGUCUGGUGCAUAUAGCGGGGCUGGCCAUGUACCACGACUGGAUGAGGAAUCUCCACCCCGGGAGUCCAGUCAAUAAUGGACGUGAGCCAGGCCUUUCCUGUGGAUUGCCCCAGUUGAGGUAGUGGCUUCUCUCUGUUCCCCUCCUGGGAUUCGGGGCCAGCGUUCUGCCUCAGCCGACACCUCCCAGCUGACUCAGAACUGGUGUGGUCCAGGGCAAUCCGAUGGAAUAAUUGAUCAAGACAUCACAAAGUCCUGCAGCGGGUGUUGACACAAUAUGAUUUCUGCCCAGUGCUCUGAAUGUCAAAGUGAAAUGCAAUGAUGCCUGCUUAAGCAGCAGGAGUAACUAUGACUCUCUCAAGGAGGCCAAAUGCCACAUAAUAUCAUUGGUGGCUUGCAUGAAAGGAUGAACGGGAUUCCCACUGUCCUCACCAACUAUCUAGUAAACCAGAGGCAAGAGAACAGGCUUAGGAGAAUCAGCAGGAUAGAAAUCCCAGUUGAGCUUCACUCUAGUCUGGCACUGUGAGGAGAUAUUUCACUUACCCAGUGAGGCUUGAGGCAAGCCUCUUGGGGCUGUCACUUCUGGCUCCAAGCACCCAGCUCCAGCCAGGUGCCACCCGCUCCAGGGCUAUUGGCAUAUUGGGAGCUUGACUGGGGUUGUAUACUGGUCCUACAAUAAUGCAAGUGUCCCAAGGCAAGAUCAGGAAGGAUAGAAACAUCCAGCGGAGCCGAAGGGCAACACCUUGCUGGAUCUCGUUUUCUGCAUGUAGACAAAUAGUGUAAGCAGGGACUCACAAUACGUCUGACUUUUCGUGUUUCCAACAGGUGUCAGAGAAUUACCACAGGGAUAGCUGUCUUGUAGCAGUCAAGCAUUCAUAGCGAUAUCACAUUGUGAUCAUUCCAUGUAGGCUUUUCCUAUCAUUGUGAUACAGAAUUCAUCAAAUGUUGCAUUGUUCACCCACUAAUUGGGAACGUGAGCUGGAUUUAGACCGUUAUGUGACAGGUUAGUUUUACCCUACUGAUGAUGUGUUCUUGCAAUAGUGAUCCUGCUCAGUAUGAGAUGAACCACAUGUUCAGGCAAUUGGUGUAUGUGCUUGCCUGAGGAGCCAAUGGGUCGAAGCUGCCAUCUAUGGGUUCACGACUGAAUGCUUCUAAAUCAGAAUCCCCCCUGCACUGCAACAGUAAAAAAGCACUUUGGAGCCUCAGUUGCCCUAUGAUAGCCAGUCUCUGGGCUGGUGAAUAGAGUUGCAUGUCGCAGGACCCAAGUGUGGACAGAAGGGGGAAACCUCUCUCACCCAUAGGCCCCACAUGUUCU
rnacentral:rRNA from 1 species